rnacentral:rRNA from 1 species
UGGGGAAUUUUGGACAAUGGGGGAAACCCGUGAUCCAGCCAUCCCGCGUGUGCGAUGAAGGCCUUCGGGUUGUAAAGCACUUUUGGCAGGAAAGAAACGUCGCGGGUUAAUACCCCGCGAAACUGACGGUACCUGCAGAAUAAGCACCGGCUAACUACGUGCCAGCAGCCGCGGUAAUACGUAGGGUGCAAGCGUUAAUCGGAAUUACUGGGCGUAAAGCGUGCGCAGGCGGUUCGGAAAGAAAGAUGUGAAAUCCCAGAGCUUAACUUUGGAACUGCAUUUUUAACUACCGGGCUAGAGUGUGUCAGAGGGAGGUGGAAUUCCGCGUGUAGCAGUGAAAUGCGUAGAUAUGCGGAGGAACACCGAUGGCGAAGGCAGCCUCCUGGGAUAACACUGACGCUCAUGCACGAAAGCGUGGGGAGCAAACAGGAUUAGAUACCCUGGUAGUCCACGCCCUAAACGAUGUCAACUAGCUGUUGGGGCCUUCGGGCCUUGGUAGCGCAGCUAACGCGUGAAGUUACCGCCUGGGGAGUNCGGUCGCAAGAUUAAAACUCAAA